rnacentral:rRNA from 1 species
AUGGGAGGAAUGGGUUUUCGAGACAUUGAAAUUUUCAACCUAUCUUUGUUGGUGUUUCAAGCAUGGAGGAUUAUGUAGGAGCCGAACUCGCUAAGUGCUCGCGUUCUAAAGGUAAGAUAUUAUCCUGAUUGUGAUCUACUUGUAGCACCAUUGGGCUCAAACCCAUCACAAGUGUGGCGAUCGAUCAGAGAAGGUUGUGAGGUCCUAUCGAUGGGCCUCAUAAAGAGGAUGGGGGACAGAGCGAGCACAAACAUAUUUGGUUGGGAAAUUGGCUGUCUGGAGAAUACAAACUAA